rnacentral:rRNA from 1 species
AUUGAACGCUGGCGGCAGGCCUAACACAUGCAAGUCGAGCGAGCGGCGGACGGGUGAGUAAUGUCUGGGAAACUGCCUGAUGGAGGGGGAUAACUCCUGGAAAAGGUAGCUAAUACCGCACACCAUCAGAUGUGCCCCGGUGGGAUUAGCUAGUAGGUGGGGUAACGGGUCACCUAGGCGACGAGCCCUAGCUGGUCUGAGAGGAUGAGCAGCCACACUGGAACUGAGACACGGUCCAGACUCCUACGGGAGGCAGCAGUGGGGAAUAUUGCACAAUGGGCGCAAGCCUGAUGCAGCCAUGCCGCGUGUGUGAAGAAGGCCUUCGGGUUGUAAAGCACUUUCAGCGGGGAGGCGUUACCCGCAGAAGAAGCACCGGCUAACUCCGUGCCAGCAGCCGCGGUAAUAC